GCCUACGGUCAUACCAGCCUGAAGGCGCCCGAUCUCGUCUGAUCUCGGAAGCUUAGCAGGGACGGGCCUGGUUAGUACCUGGAUGGGAGACCGCCUGGGAAUACCCGGUGUUGUAGGAU
rnacentral:rRNA from 1 species